rnacentral:tRNA from 1 species
ACUUAAAUAGCUUAUACUCCUAAAGCCUUUCUUUGAAGAAGAAAAAAAGGAAUCCCCUUUAAGUA